rnacentral:misc_RNA from 1 species
GGAAGUAAAAGUCGUAACAAAGGUUUCCGUAGGUGAACCUGCGGAAGGAUCAUUAUUGAAACUUCAUCCGGGGCGCCGCGGCCCUCAGCACCGGUGGAAACGCCGUGCUGCGGGGGCCGCGCGUGCACUCGUCCAAACCAAACCCCUGUGAACCUUACGGGAUGGCCCGGGUUAGCGCCCGGUGCCGUUCCGCUUUAUACAAACACUUAUCAAAGAAUGAACUGAAGGCGGUCUGACCGCUGGAUAACAAACUGAAACAACUUUCAACAACGGAUCUCUUGGCUCUC